rnacentral:rRNA from 1 species
UACGUAUGGUGCAAGCGUUAUCCGGAUUUACUGGGUGUAAAGGGAGCGCAGGCGGCACGGCAAGCCUGAUGUGAAAGCCCGCGGCCCAACCGCGGGACUGCAUUGGGAACUACCGGGCUGGAGUGCCGGAGAGGUAGGCGGAAUUCCUAGUGUAGCGGUGAAAUGCGUAGAUAUUAGGAGGAACACCAGUGGCGAAGGCGGCUUUCUGGACUGUAACUGACGUUGAGGCUCGAAAGCGUGGGGAGCAAACAGG